UGGGGAAUAUUGCACAAUGGGCGAAAGCCUGAUGCAGCAACGCCGCGUGAGUGAUGAAGGCCUUCGGGUUGUAAAGCUCUGUCUUCUGGGACGAUAAUGACGGUACCAGAGGAGGAAGCCACGGCUAACUACGUGCCAGCAGCCGCGGUAAUACGUAGGUGGCAAGCGUUGUCCGGAUUUACUGGGCGUAAAGGAUGCGUAGGCGGAUACUUAAGUCAGAUGUGAAAAUCCCGGGCUUAACUUGGGAACUACAUUUGAAACUGGGUAUCUAGAGUGCGGGAGAGGAAAGUGGAAUUCCUAGUGUAGCGGUGAAAUGCGUAGAGAUUAGGAAGAACACCAGUGGCGAAGGCGACUUUCUGGACCGUAACUGACGCUGAGGCAUGAAAGCGUGGGGAGCAAACA
rnacentral:rRNA from 1 species